AAAUUAAAGAGUUUGAUCAUGGCUCAGAUUGAACGCUGGCGGCAGGCCUAACACAUGCAAGUCGAACGGUAACAG
rnacentral:rRNA from 1 species